CAGCAGCCGCGGUAAUGCGUAGGUGGCAAGCGUUGUCCGGAAUUAUUGGGCGUAAAGGGCUCGCAGGCGGUUUCUUAAGUCUGAUGUGAAAGCCCCCGGCUCAACCGGGGAGGGUCAUUGGAAACUGGGAAACUUGAGUGCAGAAGAGGAGAGUGGAAUUCCACGUGUAGCGGUGAAAUGCGUAGAGAUGUGGAGGAACACCAGUGGCGAAGGCGACUCUCUGGUCUGUAACUGACGCUGAGGAGCGAAAGCGUGGGGAGCGAACAGGAUUAGAUACCCCGGUAGUCCCUGUCUCUUAUAU
rnacentral:rRNA from 1 species